rnacentral:rRNA from 1 species
UACGUAGGGUGCAAGCGUUGUCCGGAUUUAUUGGGUUUAAAGGGCGCGUAGGUGGCUUUUUAAGUCAUGGGUGAAAGCCCGCAGCUCAACUGUGGAAUUGCCUGUGAUACUGAGGAGCUUGAGUGCGGUUGAGGCAGCUUGAAUUGGUGGUGUAGCGGUGAAAUGCAUAGAUACCACCAGGAACACCGAGUGCGAAGGCAGGUUGCUAAGCCGUAACUGCCACUGAGGCACGAAAGCGUGGGGAGCAAACAGG